rfam:Diplodia corticola strain CBS 112549 scaffold2, whole genome shotgun sequence.
GCACCAAUAGCUCAGGGGCAGAGCGCAGGAUUGCAGUGAAAGUUGCUAUCAUCCCGAGGUCCCUGGUUCAAAUCCGGGUUGGUGCU